UCUUUCCUCUGCAAGUAAAAAGACAACAUUGAAGAGGAGAAACGUCAACGGCUGUUUUAGACGCGGUGGACGUUGCUGCUGUGAGAGAGAUGAUGUUAAUUUAACGUGUUUUUAUCAAACUUAAAGGGGGAUUUAGUGCCAGCUGAGUGGAGGAGCGAUGAAGGGAGAGGCGGAAGUGAAGUCACUUGACAGACCGUCCAUGUUAUUAUUGUUAUUUUGGUUAGCCCUGUGAUGAGACGGGCUGGGGAGCCGUUGGUCUCCGAGACAACACGACCGUUGACGUUACCGUUGACGCUACCGCAGACCGUUGACCACCACAACCGCCACCCUCACUACCACCACCACCACCUCCCGGAGACAGGAGGAGCAGGAGGAGGAGGAGGAGGAGGAGGAGGAGGGUGUGAGGACCCAGCUCCAGCUCCAGCUCGGCUCCUCCACCACUCCGGCUCCGGCUCCGGCCGACCACAAAUAAAACGGCGACAAAAAUCACAAUAACCGUCGACUGGUGUUUGUAGCAGGAGACGAGCAGCAGCCGCAGCCGCAGCAGACAUGAACGGUAUCACCAAGGGCCGGUUCGAGGUGUUCUCAAACAGCGAUGAAGCCCCCAUUAACAAGAAGCUCCCCAAAGAGCUUCUUCUUAGAAUAUUCUCCUAUCUAGACGUGGUUACACUAUGUAGGUGUGCCCAAGUAUCCAAGGCGUGGAAUGUGCUGGCCCUAGACGGCAGCAACUGGCAGAAGAUUGACUUGUUCAACUUCCAGACAGACAUAGAGGGGCGGGUGGUGGAGAACAUUUCGAAGCGUUGUGGAGGCUUCCUGAGGCAGCUGAGCCUCAGGGGCUGCCUGAGCGUGGGAGAUGCCUCUAUGAAGACAUUUGCUCAGAACUGCAGAAACAUCGAAGUGUUGAACCUGAACGGCUGCACCAAGAUCACAGACAGCACCUGUCUCAGCCUCAGCAAGUUUUGCUACAAACUCAAACAGCUAGAUCUCACCUCCUGUGUGUCCAUCAGCAACCACUCCCUCAAAGCCCUCAGCGACGGCUGCAGAAUGCUGGAGAUGUUGAACUUGUCGUGGUGUGACCAAAUCACACGUGAUGGCAUCGAGGCUCUGGCUAGAGGCUGCAAUGGUUUACGAGCACUGUUCCUCAGAGGCUGCACACAGCUGGAAGAUGGAGCAUUGAAACACCUUCAGAAACACUGCCCAGAGCUCACCACCAUCAAUAUGCAGUCCUGCACCCAGAUAACGGAUGAAGGCCUGGUCAGUCUGUGCCGAGGAUGCCACAAGUUACAGAUCCUUUGUGUGUCUGGCUGCAGUAACAUCACUGAUGCCUCCCUCACUGCUAUGGGACUCAACUGUCCCCGACUCAAGAUCCUUGAAGCUGCACGAUGUUCCCAUGUUACAGACGCUGGGUUCACUGUGCUGGCCAGGAAUUGUCAUGAGCUUGAAAAAAUGGACUUGGAAGAAUGUAUUUUGGUGACAGAUAACACCCUGGUUCAGCUGUCUAUCCACUGCCCUCGCCUGCAAGCACUGUCCCUGUCCCACUGCGAGCUGAUCACAGACGAUGGCAUCAGAGCUCUGAGCAGCAGCACCUGCGGACAAGAGCGCCUCACCGUGGUGGAGCUGGACAACUGCCCCCUCAUCACUGAUGUGACCCUGGAGCACUUGAAGAGCUGCCAUCGUCUGGAGCGCAUUGAGCUCUACGACUGUCAGCAAGUCACCAGGGCUGGCAUCAAACGCAUUCGGAAAUGUUUAAUAGGAUAAAAGGAUGAAGUGAUGACAUUUUGGACAGACACGGAUGUAAACUGCAACUUGACUGGCCCACCUUCCAGAGAUCAAGGUCCACGCCUACUUUGCCCCAGUGACACCCCCUCCCUCUGUACAUGGAGGUGGCCAGCGUCUGUGCCGCUGCUGCAUCAUCCUCUGACAGUGGAGGGCCAGGGGGGGCCACCUCUGUCUACAGGUCCUGCUGCUCUGAUAUGGGCUGAAAUGGGAUGUGGGGUGGGGGAGGGACAGGGGUAGGUGUAGGGGAGAGGAGGGGCUGGACCCACUCACUGCUCCUGAUCACUGAUCAAUACAUAGACUGAUCGCCCCUGAUCAGUUGAACCCGCCCCUCCUCUCUCCUCUUGCUCACCAAUAAGGAUUGCAGCAGCCCCGGGUUCGGGCGUGGAGGGGUGGGUGGAAAGAACAUGGAUGGAUGGACUCUCUCUCUUUUUCUCUCUCUAUCUCACUCUCUCUUUCUCGCUGUAAAGACAAAAACAGGUUCUCUACUCCAUCCUGCUCCUCACACCCCUGACUCCCCACCCGAAGAGGACUGCAUCUGGACAGCUGGAGAUGGAGGAGGGGGGGGGGAGGGUCUGAACAGUGGAACUACAAUGCAUCAUGUUCAAACUAAAAAAAAAAAAUGACAAUAUUGUCAUCUUGAACAGUUUGCUCUCUGUGGAGUAUCAUCUCAACCAAUCACAUGACACCUCUAUGUGACCAUCCUGUGAUUCAUUCUGCUUUGACCAAUAAACACACGCAGCAGCAUGGAGGGAGAGGAGAGCUGGGUUGUGGGAAAUGGAGUUCUUCUGGAUAUAAACGGUGGUGAAGCUUUGGCACAGCCGGCUCAACUCUCUAGUGUGGAAGAAAAAAUAAACAGGAAGUACAGAAUGGGACAUGUGACAUAUUUGUGCAUCUGAGAAACUUUUUUGUUGAGAUUUAGAUUCUGUUUGUACAGAGAAUGUUUUGCAAUGGAAAAAAAGAAUAACACUUACGGCAAUUCACUCAAAAUUGGGGGAAUUUUUUUUUAUUUUCUCUUUUUUUUUCAGUGCUUAUUGUAAUUGUCCAUGCCUGUCUAUCCAGAGAGGGAGUUUGUCAUUCUUUUUGAAAUGGAAAAUAAGCGACUGUUGCUGUUUAACAAAAAAAAGGACCUAUGAUUCAGACCCUCAGCGUCUAAAAGCAUUAUGUUGACUGUAUGCUGCUGGGAUGAGCAGCUUCUCCUGUGUACUGCGUGGUUAUGUUGGGUCGUAGGCCCUGAUCCAAUCCUGUCAGUAGCCCUGAUGUGCACUAGCUCCUACUUGACCACUUAAGCAUUUGUUUACAUCCUGGAUUAGGUUAGCACCACAGACAAACUUGUUUACAUCAGUAGGUUUCCAGUCUCCCUACUAUUCAGAGUGAGUUUAGUUACACUGAUACAACUGUGGUAUACCCACUGACUGUUUUUAACUGGACUGUGAAGUCCGUUAUUCAAAUUUAUUGCUGUGUGUGUAUUUGGAUAUCAAUCAGGGCUAACGUUGGUGCAACUUUGCUUCAAAAUGAAAUGGAAAUUUGCAGAUAAUAAUUAUGAGAAUGUGAGCAAAGGCACCUCAACUCUUUGACAAUCACGUGAAUUUAUGUGUUUGAAAGUUCAUUUAGUGAAGUUUUGUGCAAUUGGCAAUUUACUGAUGAUGUAGGAUGUAAUGAAUUGUCUGUAUUCAAUAUACUCCACUCGCUUAGUAAAGCAGCACAUGAGAAAUGAUUUAGAAAUAGCAUUUUGACACAGGUCUGGUGAGCCAGUCUAAUAUAUUAAAUUGAUCAGCAAAUUCUCACUCAUCAAAUCCUACAAAACAUAUAUGACAAUAGGAAUGACGUAUUUGGAAAGCCCUAGAAGCAACAGUUUAUUUCACUCUAUACAAGACACUCCUUCUUAUGAACAGGAUCUCAACAUGAUCUGUCUUGCCAUGCAAGUAGCACAUGUAUUGGGCCUGAAAUACAACUACUCAAAGCACUGAAAAUACAACAAAAACAGAAGCAGCUUGCAAAUGUUGCACUAAACAAGAGACUGGCAAGUGCUGUGUAGUGCCCAAGUGCUGAAAGACUGGGGAGAUUGGCAGGACAAUGGAUGGGACUGAAACAAGGAGAGCAGACAGAAAGAUGAAGACUGAUGGAUACAUAGCUGACAUGACUGGCUGUGAUACUAAUGCCCCUCUCUUUGACAGCUGUUUUAACAGUUUUAUGUUUAAGAAAAUAAAAGAAAUAAAUGAAAAAAUAAAACAAAUGAAUAAAUAAAAGUGACUAAUAGUAAAUGUG